rnacentral:rRNA from 1 species
GGAUUGAUACUAAGCCAUGCGAGUCAUUGUAGCAAUACAAGGCAUACGGCUCAGUAACGCGUAGUCAACCUAACCUAUGGACGGGAAUAACCUCGGGAAACUGAGAAUAAUGCCCGAUAGAACAUUAUGCCUGGAAUGGUUUAUGUUCCAAAUGAUUUAUCGCCGUAGGAUGGGACUGCGGCCUAUCAGUUUGUUGGUGAGGUAAUGGCCCACCAAGACUAUUACAGGUACGGGCUCUGAGAGGAGUAGCCCGGAGAUGGGUACUGAGACACGGACCCAGGCCCUAUGGGGCGCAGCAGGCGAGAAAACUUUGCAAUGUGCGAAAGCACGACAAGGUUAAUCCGAGUGAUUUGUGCUAAACAAAUCUUUUGUUAGUCCUAGAAACACUAACGAAUAAGGGGUGGGCAAGUUCUGGUGUCAGCCGCCGCGGUAAAACCAGCACCUCAAGUGGUCAGGAUGAUUAUUGGGCCUAAAGCAUCCGUAGCCGGCUCUGUAAGUUUUCGGUUAAAUCUGUACGCUCAACGUACAGGCUGCCGGGAAUACUGCAAAGCUAGGGAGUGGGAGAAGUAGGCGGUACUCGGUAGGAAGUGGUAAAAUGCUUUGAUCUAUCGAUGACCACCUGUGGCGAAGGCGGUCUACUAGAACACGUCCGACGGUGAGGGAUGAAAGCUGGGGGAGCAAACCGGAUUAGAUACCCGGGUAGUCCCAGCUGUAAACUAUGCAAACUCAGUGAUGCAUUGGCUUGUGGCCAAUGCAGUGCUGCAGGGAAGCCGUUAAGUUUGCCGCCUGGGAAGUACGUACGCAAGUAUGAAACUUAAAGGAAUUGGCGGGGGAGCACCACAAGGGGUGAAGCCUGCGGUUCAAUUGGAUUCAACGCCGGA